UACGUAGGGUGCGAGCGUUAAUCGGAAUUACUGGGUGUAAAGCGUGCGCAGGCGGUUCGUUGUGUCGGCGGUGAAAGCCCCGGGCUUAACCUGGGAAUGGCCGUUGAAACUGGCGAACUGGAGUGUGGCAGAGGGGGGUGGAAUUCCGCGUGUAGCAGUGAAAUGCGUAGAGAUGCGGAGGAACACCGAUGGCGAAGGCAGCCCCCUGGGCUGACACUGACGCUCAGGCACGAAAGCGUGGGGAGCAAACAGG
rnacentral:rRNA from 1 species